AUUGAACUCUGGCGGCAGGCCUAACACAUGCAAGUCGAACGAGUGGCGGACGGGUGAGUAAUGUCUGGGAAACUGCCUGAUGGAGGGGGAUAACUACUGGAUACGGUAGCUAAUACCGCAUACCAUCGGAUGUGCCCAGAUGGGAUUAGCUAGUAGGUGGGGUAAAGGCUCACAUAGGCGACGAUCCCUAGCCGGUCUGAGCGGAUGACCAGCCACACUGGAACUGAGACACGGUCAAGACUCCGACUGGAGGCAGCAGUGGGGAAUAGUGCACAAUGGGCGCAAGCCUGAUGCAGCCAUGCCGCGUGUGUGAAGAAGGCCUUCGGGUUGUAAAGCACUUUCAGCGAGGAGGCGUUACUCGCAGAAGAAGCACCGGCUAACUCCGGGCCAGCAGCCGCGGUAAUAC
rnacentral:rRNA from 1 species